rnacentral:rRNA from 1 species
AUGAACGCUGGCGGUAUGCUUAACACAUGCAAGUCGAACGGACUCUUCGGAGUUAGUGGCGGACGGGUGAGUAACGCGUGAGAAUCUGGCUUUGGUUUCGGGACAACCACUGGAAACGGUGUCUAAUACCGGAUUUGCCGAGAGGUAAAAGAGAAAUUGCCUGAAGAUGAGCUCGCGUCUGAUUAGCUAGUUGGUGAGGUAAAGGCUCAACAAGGCAGCGAUCAGUAGCUGGUCUGAGAGGAUGACCAGACACACUGGGACUGAGACACGGCCCAGAAUCCUACGGGAGGCAGCAGUGGGGAAUUUUCCGCAAAGGGCGAAAGCCUGACGGAGCAAUACCGCGUGAGGGAAGAAGGCUCUUGGGUUGUAAAACUCUUUUCUUAGGGAAGAACAAAAUGACGGUACCUAAGGAAUCAGCAUCGGCUAACUCCGUG